rnacentral:rRNA from 1 species
UACGUAGGGGGCAAGCGUUGUCCGGAUUUAUUGGGCGUAAAGAGCGUGUAGGCGGUUCGGUAGGUCCGUUGUGAAAACUCGAGCUCAACCUCGAGACGCCGAUGGAAACCCCCGAACUAGAGUCCGGAAGAGGAGAAUGGAAUUCCUGGUGUAGCGGUGAAAAUGCGCAGAUAUCAGGAGGAACACCAAUGGCGAAGGCAGCACGU